CCCAUGGAGCUUUACUGUAGCCUAAUAUUGGGUUUCGAUGUUGCAUGCACAGGAUAGAUGGGACACUGGGAAGCAGGUGCUUUGGCGCUUGUGGAGUGGCCGUUGGGAUACCAUCCUUGCGAUAUUGGAAUUCUAACCUGCGCCUUUGAAUCAAGGCGGGGGACAUUGUUAGGUGGGCAGUUUGACUGGGGCGGUCGCCUCCUAAAGAGUAACGGAGGCGCUCAAAGGUUGGCUCAGCACGGACGGAAAUCGUGCAGUGAGUGUAAACGUAGAAGCCAGCCUAACUGCGAGACCGACGGGUCGAGCAGUAACGAAAGUUGGAGUUAGUGAUCCGGUGGUAUGUGAGUGGAAAUGCCAUCGCUCAACGGAUAAAAGCUACCCUGGGGAUAACAGGCUGAUCUCCCCCAAGAGUCCACAUCGACGGGGAGGUUUGGCACCUCGAUGUCGGCUCAUCGCAUCCUGGGGCUGUAUUCGGUCCCAAGGGUUUGGCUGUUCGCCAAUUAAAGCGGUACGCGAGCUGGGUUCAGAACGUCGUGAGACAGUUCGGUCCCUAUCUGUCGUGGGCGCAGGAUAUUUGAUGGGAGCUGUCCCUAGUACGAGAGGACCGGGACGGACGUACCUCUGGCGCACCAGUUGUUCCGCCAGGAGCAUAGCUGGGCAACUACGUACGGAUCGGAUAAACGCUGAAAGCAUCUAAGCGUGAAGCCGACCCAAAGAUAAGAUAUCCCACUGAUUAGAUCAGGUAAGAUCCCUUGAAGACUACAAGGUUGAUAGGCACGAUGUGUAAGUGGAGUGAUCCAUUCAGCAAGCGUGUACUAAUAGGUCGAGGGCUUGACCAC
rnacentral:rRNA from 1 species